rnacentral:rRNA from 1 species
GACGAACGCUGGCGGCGUGCUUAACACAUGCAAGUCGAACGGUAAGGCCCUUCGGGGUACACGAGUGGCGAACGGGUGAGUAACACGUGGGUGAUCUGCCCUGCACUUCGGGAUAAGCCUGGGAAACUGGGUCUAAUACCGGAUAGGACCCUGGGAUGCAUGUCCUGGGGUGGAAAGCUUUUGCGGUGUGGGAUGGGCCCGCGGCCUAUCAGCUUGUUGGUGGGGUGAUGGCCUACCAAGGCGACGACGGGUAGCCGGCCUGAGAGGGUGACCGGCCACACUGGGACUGAGAUACGGCCCAGACUCCUACGGGAGGCAGCAGUGGGGAACAUUGCACAAUGGGCGCAAGCCUGAUGCAGCGACGCCGCGUGAGGGAUGACGGCCUUCGGGUUGUAAACCUCUUUCAGCACAGACGAAGCGCAAGUGACGGUAGGUGCAGAAGAAGGACCGGCCAACUACGUGCCAGCCGCCGCGGUAA